UCGGUUGAUCCUGCCGGAGGCUACCGCUAUUGGAGUUCGAUUAAGCCAUGCGAGUCGCGAGUCUUAGGGACUCGGCGUACCGCUCAGUAACACGUGGGUAACCUGCCCUAUGCUGGGGGAUAACCUCGGGAAACUGAGAAUAAUACCCCAUAGUUCACCACGCCUGGAACGGUGGGUGGAUGAAAGCUCCGGCGGCAUAGGAUGGGCCUGCGGCGUAUCAGGUUGUAGGGGGUGUAAUGUACCCUCUAGCCAUCUACGCGUACGGGUGUUGGGAGACAUCGCCCGGAGAUGGAUUCUGAGACACGAAUCCAGACCCUACGGGGUGCAGCAGGCGCGAAAACUUGGCAAUGCGAGCAAUCGUGACCAGGGAACUCCAAGUGCAUCGGGUAAGACCGAUGCUUUUCUUGACUCUUCAAAGGUCUUGGAAUAAGGGGUGGGUAAGGACGGUGCCAGCCGCCGCGGUAAUACCGGCGCCUCAAGUGGUAGUCGCUUUUAUUGGGCCUAAAACGUCCGUAGCCGGUUUGGUACAUUCGUGGGUAAAUCAAGGCGCUCAACGUCUUGAAUUCUGCGAGCACGGCCAGACUUGGGACCGGGUGAGGUGUGGGGUACUCUCAGGGUAGGGGUAAAAUCCUGUCAUCCUGAGAGGACCACCUGUUGCGAAGGCGCCACACUAGAACGGAUCCGACGGUCAGGGACGAAGCCUAGGGGCACGAACCGGAUUAGAUACCCGGGUAGUCCUAGGUGUAAACGCUGUGGACUUGAUGUUGGGAGUGCUCCGAGCACCCUCAGUGUCGAAGCGAAGGUGAUAAGUCCACUGCCUGGGGAGUACGGUCGCAAGGCUGAAACUUAAAGGAAUUGGCGGGGGAGCACUGCAACCUGAGGAUUGUGCGGUUUAAUUGGAUUCAACGCCGG
rnacentral:rRNA from 1 species